AAGAGGAUGAAUGGUGAGCUCCUGUUUGCAGACGCUGAGAUGGUGUCACAGCUUUCACAUUGCUUCAGCUAGAGGCAGAGCCCCCGUGUGAUGGUGUCUGGAGACCAGGCCUCCGCAGGGUACCAAGAAAGGCCACCCAAGGCCUUAGGGAGAAGGCAGCUAUCUGUGCUCCAGAAGGAGGCCUCACCAGGAAUGGAACGUGGCUGAACCUUGAGUUCCACUGGAUCAGGGCCCACCUUGCUCCAGCAGGACCUGCUCUUAACUGAUGACACCUGCAAUGACCCUACUUCCAAAGAAGGCCACAUUCCCCAGGCGCUGUGGGUUAGGACUUUAACAUCUUUUGCAGGGGACUUCUCCCUGGGACAUAGCAGAGGAAAAAGUCCCCAGCAGGGAAUGGAGCAGGUGAUGGCUUUCCACCCGCACCGUGAUCCAUGCUGACCCUGCACCAAGGGAACGUGGGACGAUGAUACGACCAUCCUUACGGGCUGCUACGGUGACUGAGAGGGAAGGCUGGUGCAGCCCCCAUGUCUUCAGCCAUGGUGGGGAGAAUGAGGGGCAGCUCCCCUCUGCGUGUGUGGGUGUGGGGACAUGGGGACAACCUGCCCCUGUGUAGCAUGAAUCACCAUCAACAGGACACCUCUGGAUAUCCCGGUGCUGGAGGGAGGCAGAGGUGAGUGCCUUCACCGUACUGGGAUGGGGGCUGCCCGGGUGGAGGUGGUGGGAGGCCUUGGAGAUCCCUGGUCCUUCCUGCCCCUCAUAUCACAGGAGGGGAGUCUGAGGCCUGGGCUUGGAGACUCACCGCAGUAGCACAGCCUGUUGGUGACUGGUUGGGUACUGUGCCCCAAGCAUCUUCUGGGGUCAACACCAGGCUCCAGCAGGGUGCCAGCGAGAGCUAUUUGACGCAGAUGUCGGAGUGGAAUUUUGCAGUACGAACCCUGACUCUGCCUGGCCACGCGGUGUGGCCAGUGCUUCUGUACACAGCAGCACCUUGUCUGCAGGGAAGGAGGCAAAAUUGCACGUCCCCUCCUGGCGAAGGCCACUUGAGGCAGGGCCGGCGCUCACUGAGCCUCAGAAAAGGCAGUCCCCGUUGUUGAUGAGGAUGGUUGGACCCUGCUGUGGCUUGGGUUGUGGUGUCCUCAAAAAUACUGAAGUCCAGCCCCAGGUACUGUGACCUUAUUUGGAACGAGGGGCCACUGUAGAUGUAAUGAAGUUAAAUGAGGUCACCUGGGAUUUAGGGUGGGCCCUAACCAGUGACUGGUGUCAUUAUGGGAAGAGGAGAGGAGACGCACAGACGCCAGGAGGUGACAGCUGAGGCCGAGGCUGGAGGGAAAGGCCACAAGCCGAGGGAGGUGAAGGCUGACCGGCGACGCUGGGAUCUGUGAGAUGCCGGGAAGGACCCGGAGCGUGGUCCUGCCAGCACCUUGAUUUCGGACUCUGGCCUCCAGGACCGUGUGAAAAUAAAUGUCUGCCAUUGAGGGCACCCCAUUGGUGGGGCUUCCUCCAGCAGCUGUGAGAGACACUCACAGACCCUACCAGGAGACGGCUGCGCCUCUGUGCGUUUUUGCCAAGGUGGCCGUUUGAGGAGAGAUGAACUUGGGAGUGGUUCCUCAGGAGCUACACGGCAUUCUGUUUCUCCCCCCUGGGGGUUGGUCAUUUUAUGAGAGAAUUGGAGGAAAAAAAAUCCCUUCCGACGCUCUAAGCCCGGGCCAGAGUGCCUGGAGCUCAAUGGAGCGGGCAUAAUUUGUUUGCUUUGCAAUUCUCUCCCCUCAGUGGAGACAAAUUGAUUUCUACGUGGAAAUGGGCCGUGGCUGGGAGGCGGCGGGCUUGUGAGAGGGCAAGGUUUGCCGGGUUUCAGGAAGGGCUGGUCCGGGCCGGCAGGCCACGGCCCACCCACUGCUGGUGAGAAUGUGCCCAGGUGAGCCCCUCCGGGACCCAGAACCCUAAAACUGCUCAGAGAGUUUGCUGUGGAGCCGCGCUGUGCCGAGCCUCUCCCGGUGCUGUCCCAAGCCUCUCCCCACGAGUCUGUGGGUGCAGCUGCUGGCCAUGUGUUUACGGAACAUCUCCCUCAAACAGAGGGACCCUGGUGGCGCCAACAGAGGCAGGGAAAACAUGGGAACGGCGGGCCUGCCCUGGGCUGUGGCCUCCUGAGACAUCAGACGCUGAGGGAAGUGUUGAAAGGCUGUAUGAUGACAGCCGCCAUACAGGAAGGCCAGGGCAUUGUUUAGCAAAUAACAAUUAAAAAUUUAUACUAUUACUAUUAUGAUGUCACCCAGAGUGCAGUGCACUGGCGCGAUCUCCGCUCACUGCAACCUCCACCUCCCAGGCUCAACCAGUUCUCCCGCCUCAGCCUCCCGAGUAGCUGGGACCAUAGGUGCACGCUGCCACACCCGACUUUUUACAAUUUUUGUAGAGAUGGGGUCUCCCUAGGUUGCCCAGGCUGGUCUCGAACUUCGGGGCUCAGGUGAUCCUCUCACCUUGGCUUCCCAAAUUGCCAUAAUUAUAGGUGGAGCCACUGUGCCCAGCCUAAAUAAUUAUUUUUUUUAAAAAGCCCAACUACUUAAUAUUCCACAAGAGGAGACAACAAUCCCAGCUGCUAUACCGAAGAAUGAAGCUGAUGUCUGGGAAAUUCUCGCGUCCACCAGGCGGGGGGGUCUUCCUGGGUCUCAUCUGGCCUCACCUCUGCACCAUCCCCAAUUGGUGAGUCCCAGUCACUCCCCGCAAGGGGGCCUCUAGGAUGCCAUGAGAUGCAGCCGUGAGCAGGUGUGCAUGGGAAGAAGGUUCGUGCUGGAGAAGUGCCUUUUCAUGGGAUCUGUGGCAGCAAAGUGCAGUGCCAAUGACUCACGGCAAACACCCGCCAGGAGAGGUGCUCAGGAGAGCCACCCUAGAGGGCUGCUGGCACGAGGCGCUCAGGAGAGCCACCCUAGAGGGCUGCUGGCACGAGGCGCUCAGGAGAGCCACCCCAGAGGGCUGCUGGCACUUGUCCCUGGGCUGUCAUGACAUGGGCAGUGUUCAUUUCGUUUCUCUAAAUGUUUAGUCUUUUUCAAAUUUUCUGUGGUGAGCAUUGGUUAUAGUUUGAAUCUGGA
rnacentral:lncRNA from 10 species